UUCUGUGGAGUACAAAUGUGAACAAGGAUAUGGGAUUGGUGCAGUGUGUUCCCCAUUGUGUGUAAUCCCCCCCAGUGACCCCGUGAUGCUACCUGAGAAUAUCACUGCUGACACUCUGGAGCACUGGAUGGAACCUGUCAAAGUCCAGAGCAUUGUGUGCACUGGCCGGCGUCAAUGGCACCCAGACCCCGUCUUAGUCCACUGCAUCCAGUCAUGUGAGACACAUCUUUCAGAUUCCUCAGAACCAUCCAGUCCUAAGCUCUUCUCCAUGGGGCCUAGAUGUUGUGGAGCCAGCUCCUAAAAGCAGAUUUCCCUCACCCCCAAAAUCUGGAUUAGGUAUUUAACUCCUGUUCACAUCUUGAUGCUACACUGAACUAUCACAUGAGCU
rnacentral:sRNA from 1 species